AAAGGAUGCCCCCACUUUACAAUGAUCACCAUUCUGAUUGUAAUAGCUGAGAAGUCACAUGCGGAAGCACAGAAAACACAUUGCCCCCACCUUUUAUUGAUUCUGAACCUGAAAAGAUGACGUCUUAGGUUCUAAUGGACAAAGACAAGAGACUCGAAGGCCUAUGAACCAAAAGCUGUUUUCUUGGUGGUCCUCAACUCUGGGAUUCUGUAAACCCAGGACUGAAGAACUCCUCUCAGGCUCAGCCCACUGUUCGUGGUCUACUUUGAGGCAGUAAGUAAGCCCUUUCCCAAGUGUGAGUGGUGCUGGCACCUCCUUACCACAGAGGACUUUGGGGGAAGACAGUGAUGGUGCCUCACAUCGUAAGUCUUUCUUAAUCUGUACGUAUGGUGGGGGUUGACAUAAAGAAUGAGGUCAGGUCAUUUGCAAGAAGGUGGAAGUAUUUGGGAAUCAUGACAUCACGUCUCAGAGAGACUAUGCCAUUUCUCAUAUGUGAAUACGAGUAUAUAAAGACUGUGUAUGUAUAUAUGGCAUGAAACAGAAUCAAAACUGUCUAGGGAAACAAAGGGAAUUAAUGAAAGGGGGAGGGGUGGGGAGGAGCAACGUGGGGAAAUACAAGAGGAGACCAUUGCUCAAUGUGCAAGACAUACUUGUGUGAAAAUGUCCUUAUGUAACAUGGCACCAUGAGUAUAGACAAUGGAAAAAUGUUAAAGAUUAUAAUAAAACUAAAAUGAAACAUGU
rnacentral:lncRNA from 1 species